rnacentral:lncRNA from 1 species
AAAUAACUAAAAUAUAAAAUCAGUUUUGAAAUGUCUUUAGCUUCUGUCAUUAAAUUCUAUUGUGUUUUUGUUUGCAGUUUCCUGGGGCACCAACCCUGCAGUUGUCUCCUUGGAAAAAGUCAAUUUUGGCUUGGAAUGAGGAGUACAUCUGGAGAAGGAAUUGAGAGGAGGAAUAUGAUUAAAUGGAUCCACAGCUUCUCCCAGCAAGACACUUCCAAUUUGAGAGACUCAGAAGGUUGACAAGGACCAGAGACCUUGUGAAGGGGCAGUGUGUCCACCCAGGAUUGAGACAGGAUAUUUCAACAGAAAGACAUCUUCUCUGGAAGAGAUGGCAAGAGGACACUUUGUAUGAGAUUUCCAAGUCACUUUUAAAGAGAUUAUUUUUCAGUUACAUAAUAAAAAUAUGUACAGUUUUUUCCUAAUUGGAACCUCAUCAUUUUUGUGUAUUGUGGGCUUUUCAGCAGAAAACAGAAGACAAGAUAUAUUAAGAAUUUCUUAAUUUCUUAAGUUUAAAAUUAACAUGGAGAAAAAUGCUAACCUAAGUGCCAGUUAUAACUUAGGAUUUGAAAUCAAUAGGGGAUUUCAUAGUUCAGAUCCGGAACUGAUAUCCUUCAGAGUCUUGGUUAAAGCAGUCUUGAUUAAAGGAAGUCUUGUUCAUCUUCAUCAAAUGACAAAGAAGCUUUUUUUGAAGCAGAUGUUUUGUUUAUAUUGACUUCCCUACUCUCACAGAGAGCAGACUGGCAGGAUCAGACCUAAGUGCUGUAUAGUUAAAUACUCACCAUUCACUUCCAGGUCUGCUUCUGUUUCGCCAUUGAUUCCUACAAAAUCCUUCCCAAUGCCCUUGGGAUAGUCUUCUUCUGUCCUUUGCUUUUCAUAAUAGAUUUGGAAGAAUUCUAUUAUGAAUGUUAUAGUAGGCCCAUGUUAGCACUGUAUAUUUAAAAAUAUAUUUGGGAUGGCAAGACUUCUUCAUGGUAAUCAAUAACUAAGAUCCUUAAUUGCCUUUGAUACAGAACUUUGAAUAUAGAAUAUCAGAAAGUGGGCAGAGGCAGCUCUUUUCAGUAGCGUUCAAGGAAAAGUAAGACAACAAAAGUACUUCCUUCCUCCUCCUUCUUUCUGCUGCCUUUCCCUCAGAACAGCAUUAGCACUCUCAGUACACCGGCUAUGCUUGCCUAACUAAUUGUUAUCAUCACUGCAAUUAGCUUAAGACAGUUUUACUUGGAUUAUGCAGACAUCAUGGUAUAGUCUUUAUGGAUGCAUUCUGAUACUUUAAAAAUAAUGGAUGGCACAGGUCAGAAGAAAGAAAUGUGUGAAAAAUUUGAUUAAAGGAGAAAAUUUAUAAGGCUGUAGCCUUAAUCUUUAAAAAGCUAUAGAAACUGUAAGUAACAAACAGUAGAUACAGGAUAAUGGAAGUUUUCUAGGACU